rnacentral:rRNA from 1 species
GUAAUACGGAGGAUGCAAGCGUUAUCCGGAAUCACUGGGUUUAAAGGGUGCGCAGNCGGAAUAGUAAGUCAGAGGUGAAAGCCCACAGCUCAACUGUGGAAUUGCCUUUGAUACUGUUAUUCUUGAGUGUAGUUGAAGUAGNCGGAAUAUAGCAUGUACCGGUGAAAUGCAUAGAUAUGCUAUAGAACACCAAUUGCGAAGGCAGCUUGCUAAACUAUAACUGACGCUGAGGCACGAAAGCGUGGGGAGCGAACAGGAUUAGAUACCCUGGUAGUCCACGCCGUAAACUAUGAACACUCGCUGUUGGCAAUACACAGUCAGCGGCUGAGCGAAAGCGUUAAGUGUUCCACCUGGGAAGUACGAUCGCAAGGUUGAAACUCAAAGGAAUUGACGGGGGCCCGCACAAGCGGAGGAGCAUGUGGUUUAAUUCGAUGAUACGCGAGGAACCUUACCUGGGCUUAAAUGUAUAUUGACGUACUGAGAAAUCAGUAUUUCUUCGGACAAUUUACAAGGUGCUGCAUGGUUGUCGUCAGCUCGUGCCGUGAGGUGUCGGGUUAAGUCCCAUAACGAGCGCAACCCCUACUUCUAGUUACCAGCAUUUCGGAUGGGGACUCUAGAGGAACUGCCUACGCAAGUAGAGAGGAAGGUGGGGAUGACGUCAAAUCAGCACGGCCAUUAUGUCCAGGGCUACACACGUGCUACAAUGGCCGGUACAGAGGGCAGCUACAUAGCAAUAUGAUGCUAAUCUCAAAAGCCGNUCUCAGUCCGGAUUGGAGUCUGCAACUCGACUCCAUGAAGCUGGAUUCGCUAGUAAUCGCACAUCAGCAAUGGUGCGGUGAANCGUUCCCGGGCAUGACACAC